UACGGGAGGCAGCAGUGGGGAAUAUUGCACAAUGGGGGAANCNCUGAUGCAGCGACGCCGCGUGAGNGAAGAAGUAUUUCNGUAUGUAAANCUCUNUCNGCAGGGAAGAAAAUGACGGUACCUGACUAAGAAGCACCGGCUAAAUACGUGCCAGCAGCCGCGGUAAUACGUANGGUGCAAGCGUUAUCCGGAUUUACUGGGUGUAAAGGGAGCGNAGNCGGAUGGGCAAGUCUGAUGUGAAANCCCGGGGCUCAACCCCGGGACUGCAUUGGAAACUGUUCAUCUAGAGUGNNGGAGAGGUAAGUGGAAUUCCUAGUGUAGCGGUGAAAUGCGUAGAUAUUAGGAGGAACACCAGUGGCGAAGGCGGCUUACUGGACNNUAACUGACGUUGAGGCUCGAAAGCGUGGGGAGCAAACAGGAUUAGAUACCCUGGUAGUCCACGCCGUAAACGAUGANUA
rnacentral:rRNA from 1 species